UGAUGCAAUGUCUCUUCGUCUUCCGUGCGAAGGCUGUAAAAAAUCUUCCGUGCGAAGGCUGUAGAAAAGAACCAAGACCAGCGUAACUCUUGCUAGCGUCGCACACCCUGCCGUCUUCCAUCCAACACCCAAGAGGCCAAAUUCGCUUUCCUUGGGCCAUCAGCGGAUCACCCUCGCCGCCGUUUCUUUGCCACGGCUCCCUACCGACGGAGGCCUGCAAAAUAAGGAGCAAACAAAAGUGAAGGCUAGAGAUAACCACAAAAGAUGAACAUCACCUUCCUAGCAAACGUAAAACCAGGACCAUUGAACUACAUCAUAUGUGUCAGAGUCUCAAGAAUGUGGGAGUUUAGGGGAAGAGAUGAAGAAAAUGAGAUUAGGCACCUUGACCUUGUGGUUAUUGAUCAAAAGGGUUAUUCCAUGUACGCUGAAAUACCACCGGAUGCAAUACCACUACUACAACCAACAUCUACAAGAGGGGAAAAUUGUUUAUAUGACAAAGAUAACAAUCCACAAUGCAAAACAAGGAUACAGACCUGUUGAAAGCCCUUACAUGAUCCGGCUCAACAUAAGAACACAGAUUGCACAACUUCAAGAUGAGCCAUCAGACUUUCCAAAAUAUGCAUUCUCAUUAGCGCCUUUUCCCAAUCUAUAUCAACACGCAGGAAAUACAGAGAAAUUUCUAGAUGUCAUUGGUAGAAUUCUAGCUGUGUCAAAUACAGCAAGAGUACUAACAAGUUCUGGAACUUUAAAAUGGAAGAGAAUCAUUCAUCUAGGGGAUCUGAGUGGAAACAUGAUCGAGCUAUCACUUUGGGGUCCAAGAGCUCUGGAAUUUCAGGGAGAAUCAGUCUACAACAUUGGUCAGAAGAACCAUGUUAUAGCUAUUUUUGUUGGAACUUCUAUGAAAUGCAUAAAAGAAAGUUCUUAUUUUCUAAGUGGCACAUCAGCAUGUCGUUGGUACAUCAAUGAAAAUGAUAUACCAGAAAUCAAAAUAUUCCAAAAGAGCUUACCAACUAUACCUGAUCAAGCUGUAAAGAAAAUUGACCUUCAGAGUGCAGAUGACAUUGAAAAGCAUAUUGAGCAGACCACAUGCCUGCAACUUAAAGAUAUUGAUCCUUUCGACAAACUGGGACAAAGGUAUGAAUGCACGGUUACAAUUACUGGUCUUGCAGAGAGGCAAUCUUGAUAUUAUCACGCUUGCAAAAUCUGUAAUUCAAGACAAAGAUUCAAUGGAAAGAGUUAUGAGUGCACAAAGCCAGGAUGUCCUUGCACACAAUAUGAGUACAAGUACAAAAUACCUCUUAUUGGAACCGAUAACACCUACAGCUUGGAAUUCAUGCUUUUCCAGCAAAGAGCAUUGCAGCUAAUUGGAAAAUCUGUAGACAAACUCUUAAAUGAUUAUGGUAAAAAUGAAACACCACCAGAGAUAACUUCAUUGGUUGGGCAAAAAUUCACCUUCAUUAUCAGAGUUUUGUCCAACAAGAGCAUCCAAAAGAGAGAACCAUCAUUUGAAGUCCUUAUGAUCAAACAGAGGUUUGGCAGACAAGCUAAUAUACCAGCAAUCAGCAAGGAGGAAAACCUCAGAACCACUUCAACCUCAACUUUUGAACUUGCUAAUCUACCACCUUUGGUCCCUAUAGCAAUAAACAAAAUGGAGAUACAGCACUCACCUUUUGAAUCACAGCUACCAGAAGAUAUCCAAUAUAUGGAAAUAGACAAAACUAGCACAUGGUGAAAAUACAAACAAAAGGAAUUUUAAAGACUUUGAAGAUAAUCAGCAGGACUCCAACGAUAGCAAUGACGACAAUACCCCUUUGAAACAAACUAAAAGAACACACUCGCAAGGGAAGAGCAAACAGUAAGGAUAUAUCGUCCUUCACAAUCUGAAACUACACAUGAAGUGGAUUGCUUUUGGGUACAAACUACCAGCUACGUUGGCUGGAUUGUUUUUGUUGUAUAUAGCACCUCUUAUGAAGAAUAGUCAGAGCAGAACAACAGAACUGCCAUCAUUACCCAUACAAGUGUUGGGUAGAUCUUUUGCUGUAAACGGUUUCUCAAAUAUAAACAAACAGGAGCUACCUUUUGUUGUAUAUAGCAGCUCCUAUGAAGAAUGGUCAGAGCAGGACAACAAAACUGCCAUCAUCACCGAUAGAACUGUUCGUUGCAUCUUUUGCUGUAAAUAGUUCCUAGAGGAUCAAUAUCCACCUUAUCAUUUGGUAACUCAUCUGUUUUACUGUGUUCGUCUCUCUCUUUGGUCGCCAUA